CAAUAGCGUAUAUUUAAGUUGUUGCAGUUAAAAAGCUCGUAGUUGGAUUUCGGAUGGGAUUUGCCGGUCCGUCGUUACGAUGUGCACUGGCCAGUCCUAUCUUGUUGUCGGGGACUAGCUCCUUGGAUUCACUUCCUGGGACUAGGAGCUGACGAGGUUACUUUGAGUAAAUUAGAGUGUUCAAAGCAAGCCUACGCUCUGAAUACAUUAGCAUGGAAUAACACGAUAGGACUCUGGCUUAUCUUGUUGGUCUGUGAGACCAGAGUAAUGAUUAAGAGGGACAGUCGGGGACAUUCGUAUUUCAUUGUCAGAGGUGAAAUUCUUGGAUUUAUGAAAGACGAACUUCAGCGAAAGCGUCUGCCAAGGAUGUUUUCAUUGA
rnacentral:rRNA from 1 species